GCGCCGCUAGCUCAAUUGGCAGAGCAUCCGGCUCUUAACCGGCAGGUUCGGGGUUCGAGUCCCUGGCGGCGCACCC
rnacentral:tRNA from 1 species